rnacentral:rRNA from 1 species
UACGUAGGUGGCGAGCGUUGUCCGGAUUUACUGGGCGUAAAGGGCGCGCAGGCGGCGGUGCUGGCCCGGCGUGAAAGCCCCCGGCUCAACCGGGGAGGGUCGUCGGGGACCGCACCGCUUGAGGGCGGUAGGGGCUGGUGGAAUGCCUGGUGUAGUGGUGAAAUGCGUAGAGAUCAGGCAGAACACCCGUGGCGAAGGCGGCCAGCUGGGCCGACCCUGACGCUGAGGCGCGAAAGCUAGGGGAGCAAACGGG